rnacentral:rRNA from 1 species
ACGAACGCUGGCGGCGUGCUUAACACAUGCAAGUCGAACGGAAAGGCCCUGCUUUUGUGGGGUGCUCGAGUGGCGAACGGGUGAGUAACACGUGAGUAACCUGCCCUUGACUUUGGGAUAAGUUCAGGAAACUGGGGCUAAUACCGGAUAGGAGCUCCUGCUGCAUGGUGGGGGUUGGAAAGUUUCGGCGGUUGGGGAUGGACUGGCGGCUUAUCUGCUUGUUGGUGGGGUAGUGGCUUACCAAGGCGUUGAGGGGUAGCCGGCCUGAGAGGGUGACCGGCCACAUUGGGACUGAGGUACGGCCCAGACUCCUACGGGAGGCAGCAGUGGGGAAUAUUGCACAAUGGGCGGAAGCCUGAUGCAGCAACGCCGCGUGCGGGAUGACGGCCUUCGGGUUGUAAACCGCUUUCGCAUGUGACGAAGCGUGAGUGACGGUAAUGGGUAAAGAAGCACCGGCUAACUACGUG